CCCUUAGAUGUUCUGGGCCGCACGCGCGCUACACUGACGGAGUCAACGAGUUGUCCUGCAUCGGAAGGUGUGGGUAAUCUUUUGAAACUUCGUCGUGCUGGGGAUAGAUCUUUGCAAUUUUCGAUCUUGAACGAGGAAUUCCUAGUAAGCGUGAUUCAUCAGAUCGCGUUGAUUACGUCCCUGCCCUUUGUACACACCGCCCGUCGCUACUACCGAUUGAAUGGUUUAGUGAGGCCUCGGGACUGGCGCGCUCGAGUAGCAAUACACCUGCGCGCCGGGAACUUGGUCAAACUUGAUCGUUUAGAGGAAGUAAAAGUCGUANCA
rnacentral:rRNA from 1 species